GGGGAAGUUUCCGCAAUGGGCGAAAGCCUGACGGAGCAAUACCGCGUGAGGGAGGAAGGCUCUUGGGUUGUAAACCUCUUUUCUCAGGGAAGAACACAAUGACGNNNNNUGAGGAAUCAGCAUCGGCUAACUCCGUGCCAGCAGCCGCGGUAAUACGGAGGAUGCAAGCGUUAUCCGGAAUGAUUGGGCGUNNAGCGUCUGUAGGUGGUUUAUUAAGUCUGCUGUUAAAGCACAGGGCUCAACCCUGUAUAGGCGGUAGAAACUGGUAGGCUUGAGUAUGGUAGGGGNNNNNGGAAUUCCCGAUGUAGUGGUGAAAUGCGUUGAUAUCGGGAAGAACACCAAAGGCGAAAGCACUCUNNNGGGCCAAUACUGACACUAAGAGACGAAANNNAGGGGAGCAAAUGGGAUUAGAUACCCCAGUAGUC
rnacentral:rRNA from 1 species